rnacentral:snRNA from 1 species
CUUCAUUAGCAGAUUCAU